GACGAACGCUGGCGGCGUGCCUAAUACAUGCAAGUUGAGCGCUGAAGGUUGGUACUUGUACCAACUGGAUGAGCAGCGAACGGGUGAGUAACGCGUGGGGAAUCUGCCUUUGAGCGGGGGACAACAUUUGGAAACGAAUGCUAAUACCGCAUAAAAACUUUAAACACAAGUUUUAAGUUUGAAAGAUGCAAUUGCAUCACUCAAAGAUGAUCCCGCGUUGUAUUAGCUAGUUGGUGAGGUAAAGGCUCACCAAGGCGAUGAUACAUAGCCGACCUGAGAGGGUGAUCGGCCACAUUGGGACUGAGACACGGCCCAAACGCCUACGGGAGGCAGCAGUAGGGAAUCUUCGGCAAUGGACGAAAGUCUGACCGAGCAACGCCGCGUGAGGGAAGAAGGGUGUCGGAUCGUAAAACUCGGUUGGUAGAGAAGAACGUUGGUGAGAGUGGAAAGCUCAUCAAGUGACGGUAACUACCCAGAAAGGGACGGCUAACUACGUG
rnacentral:rRNA from 1 species